GAUGAAGAACGCAGCGAAAUGCGAUAAGUAAUGUGAAUUGCAGAAUUCAGUGAAUCAUCGAAUCUUUGAACGCACAUUGCGCCCAUUAGCAUUCUAGUGGGCAUGCCUGCUCGAGCGUCAUUUCAACCCUUAAGCCCUGUUGCUUAGCGUUGGGAGCCUACAGUACUGUAGCUCCCCAAAGUUAGUGGCGGAGUCGGUUUCACACUCUAGACGUAGUAAUUUUUUCUCGUCUGUAGUUGAGCCGGUCCCCUGCCGUAAAACACCCAAUUUAUCAAGGUUGACCUCGGAUCAGGUAGGAAUACCCGCUGAACUUAAGCAUAUCAAUAAGCGGAGGA
rnacentral:misc_RNA from 1 species